rnacentral:rRNA from 1 species
AACGAACGCUGGCGGCGUGCCUAAUACAUGCAAGUCGAACGUGAACAGGGGCAACCCUUAGUAAAGUGGCGCACGGGUGAGUAACACGUAGGUAAUCUGCCUUUUAGUGGGGAAUAACACAGCGAAAGUUGUGCUAAUGCCGCAUACGUAAGUAAUUAGAAAGGGGGCGUCCGCAAGGAGCUCUCGCUGAAAGAAGAGCCUGCGGCCUAUUAGCUAGUUGGUGGGGUAAUGGCCUACCAAGGCAACGAUAGGUAUCCGGUCUGAGAGGAUGAUCGGACACACUGGAACUGAGACACGGUCCAGACUCCUACGGGAGGCAGCAGUAGGGAAUAUUGCGCAAUGGGGGAAACCCUGACGCAGCAACGCCGCGUGAGUGAGGAAGGUCUUCGGAUUGUAAAACUCUUUUCUUAGGGAAAAAUGGUGACCGAGCUAAUACCCGGUUAUUUGAUGGUACCUAAGGAAUAAGCACCGGCUAACUUCGUG